rnacentral:rRNA from 1 species
UACGUAGGGUGCGAGCGUUAAUCGGAAUUACUGGGCGUAAAGCGUGCGCAGGCGGUUUUUUAAGCCCGAUGUGAAAUCCCCGGGCUCAACCUGGGAACUGCAUUUGUGACUGUAGAGCUGGAGUACGGUAGAGGGGGAUGGAAUUCCGCGUGUAGCAGUGAAAUGCGUAGAUAUGCGGAGGAACACCGAUGGCGAAGGCAAUCCCCUGGACCUGUACUGACGCUCAUGCACGAAAGCGUGGGGAGCAAACAGG